ACAGUGAGAGGGAGGUUUUCCAGGCUUCCUGUGCUGUCUUGGGGACCUGCUCAGAGGCUGGACCGCGUCAUGCUCAGAAGGCUGCCUGGAAUUUGAAUGUGGUAUCUGGAGCUUCAGUAGUCAUCCAGGACUGUAAGUGUGAAAGCCAUGCACUGAGAGUGGUGGAACAGAAGCCCUGUUUUCUUUAGACGCUGACUCCUGCUGUCUACCAGAUCCUCGUGGUACAAUGACUGGUGUAGACUGGCUUGUUGAAGUCACUCUCUGGAUCUGAGCAACGCUGGCUGAGCCGUGAUGAAGUAUUCCUAUCCAUCCACUAUGCUUCACAGUGGGAAUCUCUCACUGUUCAUCACCGCUGCCCUAGCAGCCGCAGGGAUUCUUCACCCAUGGUUGCUUAGGUUUAUAAGCAAGGAAGCUGAAUGAAGUCCCUUUCCUCUCUGGAUGAGCCCCUGGGUUUCUGGAAGAGUCUUAAAAUCACCCCUAAAUGGCUUCCAAGCACUGAAGCCCGAGAUGUUAGCUGGCCUGUGUGAGGCCUUGAGACAGAAUGCCACAGCCACACCCCAAGGAUGCUGAAGGGGAUUUCCCUCCUCUGUGGUUUUUCUCCUUUCUUCCCGCAGCACUCCUCCUACGUGCUAACAUCUUCUAGUCAAACAACUCUCCUUUUCAAAGGGACCAGGCACAGUUUCUGCUUAUCCCUGAGUAGCAGUGUUCAGUUUCCUGCCAGCCUGUGGAGUUUUUCAAACAAGCCAAUCACCUCCUCCUGUGGGAACUGAGAAGCACCCCACCCUCUCGAUACUACAAAGCCCCUGCUUGUUCCCUAGUGCAACUCCCAUGUGGUCCUGUGGAGCAUAUGGUAUCUUCCUCUUCUGGGCAGUGAGCAUAUGUGACUAAUAAACUAUCUAUCUCAUCUG
rnacentral:lncRNA from 1 species